CGAUGGCGACCGGCGCACGGGUGAGUAACGCGUAUGCAACCUGCCCGAUACCGGGGUAUAGCCCAUGGAAACGUGGAUUAACACUCCAUAGUACUUUUAUCCUGCCUGGGAUGGGAGUUAAAUGUUCAAGGUAUCGGAUGGGCAUGCGUCCUAUUAGUUAGUUGGCGGGGUAACAGCCCACCAAGACGAUGAUAGGUAGGGGUUCUGAGAGGAAGGUCCCCCACAUUGGAACUGAGACACGGUCCAA
rnacentral:rRNA from 1 species